UUGCGAUCGUGUUUGACUUGUGCAUUCGACUUUCCUAAAGGUAUCUUUUAUUUUUUUAAUUCUGUCUAUUUAGAGUCUUUUAUAACUUGUUUUACAUACCAGAAGCCUUCGUUUAAAAAUAGAGUUUAUAUAUUAUUGGAGAUGAUGGUUUAUGAAUUCAUAAAUUCAAAUUUAUAUUUGAAAUAUAUUUGAUAAAUUAUCAUGAUGAUUAUGCGGAAGUGAAAAUGUUCCGUCGGUGUAUGUGAAGUAAAUUUAAAGAAUAUGACUAAGUUACAUAUAUAUUAUACAGCAUAAUAAAACUGGUUUAAUUUGAAUUACUAUCCAUUAGGGACAUUUUUCGAUAAUGAUUAAUCAAAUCUGUCAAGUUUUAUUAAAAACGGAAAACAAUUCUUCACCCGUAAACGAUUUAACGUUACUGUACCCACUUUAUUUUUGUUGCAUUUUGUCGGCGGAAAAGCAGGUCGGCAAACUAUAUUUUACACAAAAUCGUGGAAGGAAAACUUACAGUACAAUAUAAGCUGCUCUGAAUAUUGCAAUCGAAUUCACAUUAGUUUGAGCAUCAUUCCCAGCCAGAUUAUGAAGCCGGCAUAUACAUGAUAUAGGAAAUAUAUAUAGAUGUCACUAAGUAACUCUCAUAGCUGCUAAUUGUGAAACAGUGGAAUAAUUCAUAAUUUUGUGUUUACUUAUUGCUUUUGUAAAUAACAAAUAGGGCUUACAGCAUUAUGCCAUGAUGUUGAUGGGAUGUUCGGAUUAGAUUGGACAAGAAGAAAAUUGUGCAUUGAACAAAUAGCAAACUUACAAUUUGUAAGAAAGACUACAUUACUUGAUGACAGUGCAUACCUUUGAUAUAUUAUUCAUUUGAAAUAACAAUUUGGAAUAAAGAGAAUUCAUAGUUUUCUGGGAAUAUUAAUAGUGCAUCAUAUCUGAAUUCCAUGAAUAUCUCGGAUAGUUAUUCAUUUAGAAUAGCAAAUUGGAAUAAUGAAAAUUCAUAGUUUCUGUGAUUACUAAUAGUCAAAUCAAAUCAAACUUGUAUUGCCAUAUAAACCAACUUAUACGAUUUGUGACAAAAACAACAUUAAUAAUUAUAUACAUUAAAUGACAAGAAAAAAGCAUGUAUAAUCAUAUUAAACAAACUAAUGAAAAUAGUUCAAAAUUCAAUUAUGAGUCCCCUAUCCUUAGUGCCAAUGACGUUUUUAUAAAGGAACCUAUGCUUAAGCUUUCUAUCUGUUUUUGUGUUGAUGGGCAAAGAAUAUUUAUCAUUUUUUCAUUUUCAUUGAGGCUAUUAAAAUUUUCUAUACUUUUA